CUUUAACAAUCCGGAACAAGCUGAAAAUUUGAAACACCCAGUCCCAGUCGUGAAGACGGGAUUGGGGAGUCUCUCAAAACUCCAGUCCGAAGACACCUUCGG
rfam:Xenorhabdus vietnamensis strain DSM 22392 Xvie_2, whole genome shotgun sequence.